UACGUAGGGUGCGAGCGUUAAUCGGAAUUACUGGGCGUAAAGCGCUUGUAGGCGGUCCACCAAGUUUGGGGUGACAGUUGCCGACUUAAUCGGCAAAGUGCCUCAAAGACUGGCGGACUUGAGGGCCACAGAGGGACAUGGAACUCCAGGUGUAGUGGUGAAAUGCGUAGAUAUCUGGAAGAACACCAAAGGCGAAGGCAGUGUCCUGGGUGGUCGCUGACGCUGAGAGGCGAAAGCCAGGGGAGCGAACGGG
rnacentral:rRNA from 1 species